GAAAUGCGAUAAGUAAUGUGAAUUGCAGAAUUCAGUGAAUCAUCGAAUCUUUGAACGCACAUUGCGCCCCUUGGUAUUCCAUGGGGCAUGCCUGUUCGAGCGUCAUUUGUACCUUCAAGCUCUGCUUGGUGUUGGGUGUUUGUCUGCCGCUUGUGUAGACUCGCCUCAAAUGCAUUGGCAGCCGGCAAUCUGGUGUUAGAGCGCAGCACAAUUUGCACUUUACGCUAUGAAUACCGACGUCCAAUAAGUCUACCUCUCACGUUUGACCUCGAAUCAGGUAGGGAUACCCGCUGAACUUAA
rnacentral:misc_RNA from 1 species